rnacentral:rRNA from 1 species
AAGUUGUAACAAGGUUUUCGUAGGUGAACCUGCGGAAGGAUCAUUA